rnacentral:rRNA from 1 species
CAGCACCUCAAGUGGUCAGGAUGAUUAUUGGGCCUAAAGCAUCCGUAGCCGGCUCUGUAAGUGUUCGGUUAAAUCUGUACGCUCAACGUACAGGCUGCCGGGAAUACUGCAGAGCUAGGGAGUGGGAGAGGUAGACGGUACUCGGUAGGAAGGGGUAAAAUCCUUUGAUCUAUUGAUGACCACCUGUGGCGAAGGCGGUCUACCAGAACACGUCCGACGGUGAGGGAUGAAAGCUGGGGGAGCAAACCGGAUUAGAUACCCGAGUAGUCC